AUUCCAUGGUGGGGGCAAGCAGCGAUGUAUUCUUGAAGUCGCUCCCAUGCUUCCGCCACUGUCUCCUCUGCGAGCUGCUGGAAGCUCGAGAUUCGGUUGCUUAGUGC